rnacentral:tRNA from 1 species
GUAGGUAUAGCUCAGUGGUAGAGCACGUGCUUGGCAUGCAUGAGGGUCCUGGGUUCAAUCCCAGUACCUCCA